rnacentral:rRNA from 1 species
CGUUCCCGGACCUUGUACACACCGCCCGUCAAGCCAUGGAAGCCGGGGGUACCUGAAGAUGGUGACUUCACAGGGAGCUAUCUAAGGUAAAACUGGUGACUGGGGCU